AAAUUUUAAGUUAGAACUGAUGCAUCUCAGGCGGUUAGAGAAACAGAAUAUCUGGUCAACAUCCAGGCUCAUCUCUCACCACAAAUAGAAUCAGUAAGUCUAUGAUGAGCUAUCACAUGACUGAAGAUAUUUUUCUGGCUUACUAGAACAUACUUGAGGGCUGGAUUGGACAAACCUGUCUAAAGAAACUAAAAGGACCAAGCAGAGUUUGCAGGCAACUAAUCCUCACUGAAUUGGAUCAAACAGACAGGCACAAUCAAUUUGACAAGAGCAAGCAAUGCCAGUUCUGCUCAAUCUUCCCUCAAUGAGCAGCAGAGGAGAGAGGGGGAAAAAGAGAAAGAAGGAAAGAAAAUCCAGGCAUGCCUACACCCAAGAUAGCUUAGUACAGGAAAAGAUGAAAAGACAAGUUGAAAUAUAUAUGCUGGCAGGUGGAAGCGCUUGCUGUCAGAGGGAGAGUCUGAAAACACCACAAUGGUACCAAACACAUGAAGCCUUCAGACACUGAGGGGUGUUGAAGGGA